rnacentral:rRNA from 1 species
AACGAACGCUGGCGGCAUGCCUAACACAUGCAAGUCGAACGAGACCUUCGGGUCUAGUGGCGCACGGGUGCGUAACGCGUGGGAACCUGCCCUUAGGUUCGGAAUAACUCCCCGAAAGGGGUGCUAAUACCGGAUAAUGUCUUCGGACCAAAGAUUUAUCGCCUUUGGAUGGGCCCGCGUUGGAUUAGCUAGUUGGUAGGGUAAAAGCCUACCAAGGCGACGAUCCAUAGCUGGUCUGAGAGGAUGAUCAGCCACACUGGGACUGAGACACGGCCCAGACUCCUACGGGAGGCAGCAGUGGGGAAUAUUGGACAAUGGGCGAAAGCCUGAUCCAGCAAUGCCGCGUGAGUGAUGAGGCCUUAGGGUUGUAAAGCUCUUUUACCCGGGAUGAUAAUGACAGUACCGGGAGAAUAAGCUCCGGCUAACUCCGU